GGUGCUGCAUGGCUGUCGUCAGCUCGUGUCGUGAGGAUGUUGGGUUAAGUCCGUAACGAGCGCAACCCUUGUCCUUAGUUACCAGCACGUUAUGGUGGGCACUCUAAGGAGACUGCCGGUGACAAACCGGAGGAAGGUGGGGAGUGACGUCAAGUCAUCAUGGCCCUUACGGCCUGGGCUACACACGUGCUACAAUGGUCGGUACAAAGGGUUGCCAAGCCGCGAGGUGGAGCUAAUCCCAUAAAACCGAUCGUAGUCCGGAUCGCAGUCUGCAACUCGACUGCGUGAAGUCGGAAUCGCUAGUAAUCGUGAAUCAGAAUGUCACGGUGAAUACGUUCCCGGGCCUU
rnacentral:rRNA from 1 species